rnacentral:rRNA from 1 species
GACGAACGCUGGCGGCGUGCUUAACACAUGCAAGUCGAACGGAAAGGCCCUGCUUUUGUGGGGUGCUCGAGCGGCGAACGGGUGAGUAACACGUGAGUAACCUGCCCUUGACUUUGGGAUAACUUCAGGAAACUGGGGCUAAUACCGGAUAGGAGCUCCUGCUGCAUGGUGGGGGUUGGAAAGUUUCGGCGGUUGGGGAUGGACUCGCGGCUUAUCAGCUUGUUGGUGGGGUAGUGGCUUACCAAGGCUUUGAUGGGUAGCCGGCCUGAGAGGGUGACCGGCCACAUUGGGACUGAGAUACGGCCCAGACUCCUACGGGAGGCAGCAGUGGGGAAUAUUGCACAAUGGGCGGAAGCCUGAUGCAGCAACGCCGCGUGCGGGAUGACGGCCCUCGGGUUGUAAACCGCUUUCGCCUGUGACGAAGCGUGAGUGACGGUAAUGGGUAAAGAAGCACCGGCUAACUACGUG